rnacentral:rRNA from 1 species
AACGAACGCUGGCGGCAGGCUUAACACAUGCAAGUCGAACGCACCGCAAGGUGAGUGGCAGACGGGUGAGUAACACGUGGGGAUCUGCCCAAUGGUACGGAAUAGCUCCGGGAAACUGGAAUUAAUACCGUAUGAGCCCGCAAGGGGAAAGAUUUAUCGCCAUUGGAUGAACCCGCGUCGGAUUAGCUAGUUGGUGUGGUAAAGGCGCACCAAGGCGACGAUCCGUAGCUGGUCUGAGAGGAUGAUCAGACACACUGGGACUGAGACACGGCCCAGACUCCUACGGGAGGCAGCAGUGGUGAAUAUUGGACAAUGGGCGCAAGCCUGAUCCAGCCAUGCCGCGUGAGUGAUGAAGGCCUUAGGGUUGUAAAGCUCUUUCGCCGACGAAGAUAAUGACGGUAGUCGGAGAAGAAGCCCCGGCUAACUUCGUGCCAGCCGCCGCAGUAAAAC